ACGAACGCUGGCGGCAUGCCUAACACCUGCAAGUCGAACGAGACCUUCGGGUCUAGUGGCGCACGGGUGCGUAACGCGUGGGAACCUGCCCUUAGGUUCGGAAUAACUCCCCGAAAGGGGUGCUAAUACCGGAUAAUGUCUUCGGACCAAAGAUUUAUCGCCUUUGGAUGGGCCCGCGUUGGAUUAGCUAGUUGGUAGGGUAAAAGCCUACCAAGGCGACGAUCCAUAGCUGGUCUGAGAGGAUGAUCAGCCACACUGGGACUGAGACACGGCCCAGACUCCUACGGGAGGCAGCAGUGGGGAAUAUUGGACAAUGGGCGAAAGCCUGAUCCAGCAAUGCCGCGUGAGUGAUGAAGGCCUUAGGGUUGUAAAGCUCUUUUACCCGGGAUGAUAAUGACAGUACCGGGAGAAUAAGCUCCGACUAACUCCGUG
rnacentral:rRNA from 1 species